GGUAAGGGACCAACCCCCAAGGACCCAUUUCCAAACCCGUUUUAUUUUGGAAUUGCAAUUUUGAAUUGGGGAAGAGGUGGGAAUUGUUAGUAUUCGGAUUCAAGCACCGGUGAAUUCGUUUCCGGGCCUUGUACACACGGACGUCACACCAUGGAGUUGGCUUACCCGAAAGACGGUGCGCUACCGCAAGGAGGCAGCCGGCCCACGGUCAGGUCAAGACUGGGGUGAAGUCGUAACAAGGUAGCCGUAGCGGCCGCGGAUCCUGUAAAUCACUAGUGAAUUC
rnacentral:rRNA from 1 species